ACACUUGGUGGAAUUGUGAUGUUUCAUUUGCAAACCAUUGCGAUGUUUCGAUGUUCCAUUUGCCAACCAUCACGAUGUUUCAUUUGAGAUAUUUUUUUGUUCUCCCUUGUUUCAGUUAUGCUUGAACCGUUGCGAUUAUUCACUCAACAGUCUCAACACAAGUCACUUCCAUCCCUAUAUAUAUGGCAUAACAAUCUUGCUAUCAUUCACUAUAUUUUCUAUUUGUAUACUUAGUUUUGUCCCAGCAAUCUACGCAGCGCAGUAACAAGAUUAAGAUGACUGGGAAAUCAUUAGAAAAAAGUCUUGGGACUUUUAAAGAAUUUGAUCGUCUUUCUGAAAACUUAGACUUGACUGAAGAUGAGAGACUUGUCCUGGAACUGGAAUGGAUCUUAAACAAUAUUCAAACUCAUCCAAAGGAAGUUAUGGACUGGAUAAGGGCUCAUACGAACACAAGAGUGU